GGUCAAGUUAUCAAGGGCUCACGGCGGAUACCUAGGCACAUAGCGGCGAUGAAGGACGCAGUUACCGGCGAUACGCCACGGGGAGUUGGAAGCAAGCUUUGAUCCGUGGAUUUCCGAAUGGGGCAACCCUUAACACGGCCACCUGAAUAUAUAGGGUGGCGCGAGCCAACCCAGCGAAUUGAAACAUCUUAGUAGCUGGAGGAAAAGAAAACAAAAGUGAUUCCCAAAGUAGCGGCGAGCGAAAUGGGAACAGCCUAAACCAGUACGCUUGCGUACUGGGGUUGUGGGACAGCGAUAUCGAAUCUAGCGGUUAGACGAAGUGUUUGAAAGACACGCCAGAGAAGGUGAAAGCCCUGUAGUCGAAAACUUAAGGAUAGUAGCUGUAUCCCGAGUAGCAUGGAGCACGUGGAAUUCCGUGUGAAUCAGCCGGGACCACCCGGUAAGGCUAAAUACGACUAUGUGACCGAUAGUGAAAUAGUACCGCGAGGGAAAGGUGAAAAGAACCCCGGAAGGGGAGUGAAAUAGAACAUGAAACCGUGAGCUUACAAGCAAUCGGAGCCCGAUUAAAACGGGUGACGGUGUGCCUGUUGAAGAAUGAGCCGGCGACUUAUAGGUACUGGUAGAUUAAGGCGGGAAUGCCGAAGUCAAAGCGAAAGCGAGUCUGAAUAGGGCGUUAAUCAGUAUUUAUAGACCCGAACCCGGGUGAUCUAACCAUGUCCAGGCUGAAGCUUAGGUAACACUAAGUGGAGGGCCGAACCGACUGAUGUUGAAAAAUCAGCGGAUGAGGUGUGGUUAGGGGUGAAAUGCCAAUCGAACCCGGAGCUAGCUGGUUCUCCCCGAAAUAUGUUGAGGCAUAGCGGUAACGAUUUAUAGCACAGGGGUAAAGCACUGAUUCGGUGCGGGCUGCGAGAGCGGUACCAAAUCGAGUCAAACUCUGAAUACUGUGUGAACACGUUGCCAGUCAGACGGUGGGGGAUAAGCUUCAUCGUCAAGAGGGAAACAGCCCAGACCACCAGCUAAGGUCCCUAAAUCAUGUCUAAGUGAUAAAGGAGGUGGGAUUGCAGAGACAACCAGGAGGUUUGCCUAGAAGCAGCCAUCCUUGAAAGAGUGCGUAAUAGCUCACUGGUCUAGCGAUCCUGCGCCGAAAAUGAACGGGGCUAAGACAUGUACCGAAGCUGUGGACUUAUUUAUAAGUGGUAGGGGAGCGUUCUGUUGUAGUGCGAAGCAGUAGCGGCAAGCAGCUGUGGACGAAGCAGAAGUGAGAAUGUCGGCUUGAGUAGCGAAAACAUUGGUGAGAAUCCAAUGCCCUGAAAUCCUAAGGUUUCCUCCGGAAGGCUCGUCCGCGGAGGGUUAGUCGGGACCUAAGGCGAGGCCGAAAGGCGUAGUCGAUGGACAACUGGUUAAUAUUCCAGUACUCGAUAUGGAUUGUGGCGGGGGACGGAGAAGGCUAGCACAGCUGGAUAUUGGUUACCAGUUCAAGCUUGCGAGGUGUUGAGAGACGGCGAAAACGUCUUGAGCUGAGCAGUGAGUACGAUGCUCUACGGAGCAGAAGUGUGUGACGUCAGGCUUCCUAGAAAAUCCCGGACCACGUUAAUCCAUGUCACCCGUACCCGAAACCGACACAGGUAGGAUGGUUGAGAAUACUAAAGGGCGCGAGGUAACUCUCUCUAAGGAACUCGGCAAAAUGGCCCCGUAACUUCGGGAGAAGGGGUGCCCACGCAAGUGGGUCGCAGUGAAGAGUCCCAGGCGACUGUUUACCAAAAACACAGGUUUCCGCAAAGUCGCAAGACGAAGUAUGGGAGCUGACGCCUGCCCAGUGCCGGAAGGUUAAGGAAGUUGGUCAGCCCUUGAGGUGAAGCUAACGACCGAAGCCCCGGUGAACGGCGGCCGUAACUAUAACGGUCCUAAGGUAGCGAAAUUCCUUGUCAGGUAAGUUCUGACCCGCACGAAAGGCGUAACGAUCUGGGAGCUGUCUCGGAGAGAGGCUCGGCGAAAUAGGAUUGUCUGUGAAGAUACGGACUACCUGCACCUGGACAGAAAGACCCUAUGAAGCUUUACUGUAGCCUGGAAUUGGGUUCGGGCUUUAACUGCGCAGGAUAGGUGGGAGACUAUGAUGUAGUGCUUGUGGGCAUUACGGAGUCACUGGUGAGAUACCACUCUGUUAAAGCUAGAAUUCUAACCUUCACCCGUAAUCCGGGGAGGGAACAGUUUCAGGUGGGCAGUUUGACUGGGGCGGUCGCCUCCCAAAUGGUAACGGAGGCGUGCAAAGGUUCUCUCAGACUGGUUGGAAAUCAGUCGACGAGUGUAAAGGUAUAAGAGAGCUUGACUGUGAGACGUACAUGUCGAACAGGGACGAAAGUCGGCCUUAGUGAUCCGACGGCAGUGAGUGGAAGCGCCGUCGCUCAACGAAUAAAAGUUACUCUAGGGAUAACAGGCUGAUCUCCCCCAAGAGUUCACAUCGACGGGGAGGUUUGGCACCUCGAUGUCGGCUCGUCGCAACCUGGGGCGGUAGUACGUCCCAAGGGUUGGGCUGUUCGCCCAUUAAAGCGGCACGCGAGCUGGGUUCAGAACGUCGUGAGACAGUUCGGUCCAUAUCCGGUGUAGGCGUAGGAGUAUUGAGAGGAGCCUUCUUUAGUACGAGAGGACCGAGAAGGACGCACCUCUGGUGUACCUGUUAUCGUGCCAACGGUAAACGCAGGGUAGCCAUGUGCGGAGUGGAUAACCGCUGAAAGCAUCUAAGUGGGAAGCCCACCUCAAGAUGAGUACUCCCAUGGGGUUAACCCAGUAAGGUCACGGGAAGACCACCCGUUUAUAGGUUCUAGAUGGAAGUUCAGCAAUGAAUGAAGUCGAGGAAUACUAAUAGACCGAGGGCUUGUCCUC
rnacentral:rRNA from 1 species